rnacentral:rRNA from 1 species
GAUGAACGCUGGCGGCGUGCCUAAUACAUGCAAGUCGAGCGAACGGACGAGAAGCUUGCUUCUCUGAUGUUAGCGGCGGACGGGUGAGUAACACGUGGAUAACCUACCUAUAAGACUGGGAUAACUUCGGGAAACCGUAGCUAAUACCGGAUAAUAUUUUGAACCGCAUGGUUCAAAAGUGAAAGACGGUCUUGCUGUCACUUAUGGAUGGAUCCGCGCUGCAUUAGCUAGUUGGUAAGGUAACGGCUUACCAAGGCAACGAUGCAUAGCCGACCUGAGAGGGUGAUCGGCCACACUGGAACUGAGACACGGUCCAGACUCCUACGGGAGGCAGCAGUAGGGAAUCUUCCGCAAUGGGCGAAAGCCUGACGGAGCAACGCCGCGUGAGUGAUGAAGGUCUUCGGAUCGUAAAACUCUGUUAUUAGGGAAGAACAUAUGUGUAAGUAACUGUGCACAUCUUGACGGUACCUAAUCAGAAAGCCACGGCUAACUACGUG